rnacentral:rRNA from 2 species
CUGGAACGCGCCCCAGGCGCACCCAGAAACCCUUUGUGAACUUAUACCUUACUGUUGCCUCGGCGCAUGCCGGCCCCCCCGGGGGCCCCUCGGAGACGAGGAGCAGGCACGCCGGCGGCCAAGUUAACUCUUGUUUUUACACUGAAACUCUGAGAAAAAAACACAAAUGAAUCAAAACUUUCAACAACGGAUCUCUUGGUUCUGGCAUCGAUGAAGAACGCAGCGAAAUGCGAUAAGUAAUGUGAAUUGCAGAAUUCAGUGAAUCAUCGAAUCUUUGAACGCACAUUGCGCCCUCUGGUAUUCCGGAGGGCAUGCCUGUUCGAGCGUCAUUUCAACCCUCAAGCAUUGCUUGGUGUUGGGGCACUGCUUUUUACCCAAAAGCAGGCCCUGAAAUCUAGUGGCGAGCUCGCCAGGACCCCGAGCGCAGUAGUUAAACCCUCGCUCUGGAAGGCCCUGGCGGUGCCCUGCCGUUAAACCCCCAACUUUUGAAAAU